rnacentral:rRNA from 1 species
UACGGAGGGGGGCUAGCGUUGUUCGGAAUUACUGGGCGUAAAGCGCACGUAGGCGGCUUUGUAAGUUAGAGGUGAAAGCCCAGGGCUUAACCCUGGAAUUGCCUUUAAGACUGCAUCGCUCGAAUUGUGGAGAGGUGAGUGGAAUUCCGAGUGUAGAGGUGAAAUUCGUAGAUAUUCGGAAGAACACCAGUGGCGAAGGCGACUCACUGGACACAUAUUUGAACGCUGAGGUGGCGAAAGCGUGGGGGAGCAAACAGG